rnacentral:rRNA from 1 species
GAUGAACGCUGGCGGCGUGCCUAAUACAUGCAAGUCGAGCGAACGGACGAGAAGCUUGCUUCUCUGAUGUUAGCGGCGGACGGGUGAGUAACACGUGGAUAACCUACCUAUAAGACUGGGAUAACUUCGGGAAACCGGAGCUAAUACCGGAUAAUAUUUUGAACCGCAUGGUUCAAAAGUGAAAGACGGUCUUGCUGUCACUUAUAGAUGGAUCCGCGCUGCAUUAGCUAGUUGGUAAGGUAACGGCUUACCAAGGCAACGAUGCAUAGCCGACCUGAGAGGGUGAUCGGCCACACUGGAACUGAGACACGGUCCAGACUCCUACGGGAGGCAGCAGUAGGGAAUCUUCCGCAAUGGGCGAAAGCCUGACGGAGCAACGCCGCGUGAGUGAUGAAGGUCUUCGGAUCGUAAAACUCUGUUAUUAGGGAAGAACAUAUGUGUAAGUAACUGCGCACAUCUUGACGGUACCUAAUCAGAAAGCCACGGCUAACUACGU